rnacentral:rRNA from 1 species
GGAAAGGUGAAAAGAACCCCGAACAGGGGAGUGAAAUAGAACCUGAAACCAUACGCUUACAACCGGUCGGAGCAGCUUCGUGCUGUGACGGCGUGCCUAUUGAAUAAUGAGCCUACGAGUUACUAAUCACUGGCGAGGUUAAGUGCUAGGAAGCACGGAGCCGAAGCGAAAGCGAGUCUGAACAGGGCGUUUAGUCAGUGGUUGUAGACGCGAAACCUUGCGAUCUACCCUUGAGCAGGUUGAAGGUUGGGUAAAACCAACUGGAGGACCGAACGAAUAAGCGUUGAAAAGCUUCUCGAUGACUUGAGGGUAGGGGUGAAAGGCUAAUCAAGCUGGGAAAUAGCUCGUACUCCCCGAAAUGCCUUUUGGGGCAGCGUUGUAAUAAAGAGUCUACUGGAGGUAGAGCUACUGAUUGGAUGCGGGGGCUUCACCGCCUACCAAAUCCUGACAAACUCCGAAUGCCAGUAGUAUGAUUUACAGCAGUGAGUGACUGGGUGCUAAUGUCCAGUCGCAAAAGAGGAACAACUCAGACCAGCAACUAAGGUCCCGAAGAAUAUGCUAAGUUGAUCUAACGAUGUUUUGUUGCAGAGACAGCUAGGAUGUUAGCUUGGAAGCAGCUAUUCAUUCAAAGAGUGCGUAACAGCUCACUAGUCGAGCGACAGAGCGUGGAUAAUAAACGGGCAUCAAGCAUAUCACCGAAGUUCUGGGCGCGAGAGCGCGGUAGGGGAGCAUUCCAUUCAGCGUCGAAGCAGUUUCGUGAGGAAUUGUGGAGCGUAUGGAAAAGCAAAUGUAGGCAUGAGUAACGAUAAUGCGGGAGAGUAACCCGCACACCGCAAGACCAAGGUUUCCUGAUCAACGCUAAUCGGAUCAGGGUUAGUCGGGUCCUAAGGGUAAGCCGAACGGCGAUCUCGAUGGAUAAUCGGUUAAUAUUCCGAUACUAACAUAUACCUCGAUGGAGAGACGAAGGAACGUAAGUGCCGCCACCUGACGGAAUAGGUGGUUAAAGGGCGUAGGUAUAGGGGCAGAUUAAGAGUUAGUCCUUGCUGAAACCUGACAGUACAGAGAGCCUACGGGCAAUUUGAUAGUGCACCCAAGUCGACUUCCGAGAAAAUCUUCUAAGUUAUAGUAUAUGUCACCCGUACCGUAAACCGACACAGGUGGUCGAGGAGAGUAUCCUAAGGUGCUCGAGUGAAUCACGGUUAAGGAACUAGGCAAAUUAACCCCGUAACUUCGGGAAAAGGGGUCCCUAUGAAAGUAGGGCGCAGCGAAGAGGUCCAGGCGACUGUUUAUCAAAAACACAGGGCUCUGCAAAUUCGAAAGAAGACGUAUAGGGCCUGACACCUGCCCGGUGCUGGAAGGUUAAGAGGGGAUGUCAUCGCAAGAGAAGCAUUGAAUCGAAGCCCCAGUAAACGGCGGCCGUAACUAUAACGGUCCUAAGGUAGCGAAAUUCCUUGUC